CGUCCGCUCAGGGUUAGUCGGGACCUAAGCCGAGGCCGAUAGGCGUAGGCGAUGGACAACAGGUAGAGAUUCCUGUACCAGUGCUAAUUGUUUAACCGAUGGGGUGACACAGAAGGAUAGGGAAUCGAACGAAUGGAAAUGUGCGUCCAAGCAGUGAGUGUGAGAAGUAGGCAAAUCCGCUUCUCGCGAAGCAUGAGCUGUGAUGGGGAAGGAAAUUAAGUACGGAAGUUCCUGAUUUCACGCUGUCAAGAAAAG
rnacentral:rRNA from 1 species